rnacentral:lncRNA from 1 species
GCUGGAGACUGUGGGGAAAACAAAACCAAAGAGGUGGAAAAUGGAGCCCCUUUCUUUCCCAGCUGCAUCCCUGGGGUGAAACAAAAGAAGGAUCUAUUCCAUCCCUCUGGAUGAGCAGCCUGCUCCCCCUGCCAGCACAUAUCGGCUGUUAAAUGCUUACCCAGCACCGGGAGAGGGAGUUCCCAGCCCUGCUGCUGUGGGAUGAGACAGGAAUCCUCCUGCCCCUGGAAGGCACAGGUUUGACAUUCCCAGUGGGAAUUCCCGUUUUCCACAGGGCAAACUGUGCUCCAACUCCCCUCCCGUGCAGCUCCUUGAAACAAAUCAUACUUUGGGGAUAA